rnacentral:lncRNA from 1 species
GUGAUUCUAGUUUCAUGUCACUAGCACAGCAGGCAUUGACUAUGCAGAUAUUAAGAAAUACUUAAUAUAAAAUGUAGUCAGUAUGUGAAGUGUGAUCAGAAUCAGAAGAAAAUAGUAAAUGUUGAGCCAGAUUUAGGAAGACACAGUAUAAACAGUGGACCAUAAAUGGCUACAGUCCAUAUCAAAUAAAGUUAGUAGGGAUGUGCUUUGGAGAGAAUGAAGUGAAUUCAGUAUGAUGGAGCACAGACUAUAUGGUCAAAUCAGCCUAGAUUUAAACCGGGCUCCUAUUCCCUAUCAUCUGCAUUAUCUUGGGUUUGUGAGUCAACUUUAUGGGUCUAUUGGGAGCAGCAGUUCUUCCUGGCCCCUGGAUGUACUGAUUCCGGUGCAGUCCUCUGACCAUAUUGGGAAGGAUAUGUAAAAUGAUACGAGUUUCAGGGAAUAAGAAUGGGGGUGAGAGGAAUCACUGAGGAUGCCCAAGGACAAAGCAGCCGGAACAAGACAGAGUUUCUCUUGUUGCCCAGGCUGGAGUGCAAUGGCGUGAUCUUAGCUCAUCGCAACCUCUGCCUCCCAGGUUCAAACAAUUCUCCUGCCUCAGUCUCCUGAGUAGCUGGAAUUACAGUUUAUAGCUCAGCAGUCCCAAGAUGGCCGAAUAGGAACAGCUCCAGUCUACAGCUCCCAGCGUGAGUGAUGCAGAAGAUGGGUGACUUCUGCAUUUCCAACCAAGGUACCGGGUUUAUCUCACUGGGGCUUGUUGGACAGUGGGUGCAAUCCACGAAGUGUGAGCCAAAGCAGGGCGGGGCAUCACCUCACCCAGGAAGUGCAAGAGGUCGGGGAAUUCCCUUUCCUAGCUGAGGGAAGCCAUGACAGAUGGUACCUGGAAAAUCGGGACACUCCCAUCCUGAUACUGCACUUUUCCAAAGGUCUUAGCAAAUGGCACACCAGGAGAUUAUAUCCCACGCCUGGCUCAGAGGGUCCCACGCCCACGGAGCCUCGCUCACUGCUAGCACAGCAGUCUGAGACUGAACUGCAAGGUGGCAAUGAGGCUGGGGGAGGGGGGUCCACCAUUGCUGACGUUUGAGUAGGUAAACAAAACACUCCAGCCUGGGCGACGGACUGAGACUCUGUCUCAAAAAAAAAAAAAAGAAGACAUUUAUGCAGCCAACAGACACAUGAAAAAAUGCUCAUCGUCACUGGCCAUCAGUACUGGAGAGGAUGUGGAGAAAUAGGAACACUUUUACACUGUUGGUGGGACUGUAAACUAGUUCAACCAUUGUGGAAGACAGUGUGGCGAUUCCUCAAGGAUCUAGAACUAGAAAUACCAUUUGACCCAGCCAUCUCAUUACUGGGUAUAUACCCAAAGGAGUAUAAAUCAUGCUGCUAUAAAGACACAUGUACAUGUAUGUUUAUUGUGGCAUUAUUCACAAUUGCAAAGACUUGGAACCAACCCAAAUGUCCAUCAAUGAUAGACUGGAUUAAGAAAAUGUGGCACAUAUACACCAUGGAAUACUGUGCAGCCAUAAAAAAGGAUGAGUUCAUGCCCUUUGUAGGGACACAGAUGAAGCUGGAAACCAUUCUGAGCAAACUAUCGCAAGGACAAAAAACCAAACACUGCAUGUUCUCACUCAUAGGUGGGAAUUGAACAAUGAGAACACUUGGACACAGGGUGGGGAACAUCACACACCGGGGCCUGUUGUGGGGUGGGGGGAGGGGGGAAGGAUAGCAUUAGGAGAUAUACCUAAUGUAAAUGACGAGUUAAUGGGUGCAGCACACCAACAAGGCACAUGUACACAUAUGUAACAGCUGCACGUUGUGCACGUGUACCCUAGAACUUAAAGUAUAAUUAAAAAAAUGAAAUAAAAUGGCAAAUAAAGAAUUUGCUCAUACAGCUUCUGAAAACAAAAUAAAGUUUAUAGCUCAAAAAAAGAUUCUGUUCUUUUGAAACUUCAUUAAGAAUGGAAGAAGAGACAUUAAAAUCUGACAAGACUUUAUUUUCUUAAUUGAGCUUUUCAAAUCCAGGACCUGCAAGUUACUGUGAGCUGUCAAUUACUUACUUAACUGUGAAUAAACUUUACAGUUAAAUGUCACAAAUGGACAAAAUGUAGGCAACUUGAAAACACAAUCCAGUUCUCCUGGCUUUAUCUUAUAUUUGGAUCCUUUCACCUUUUCAAAGUCACUCAUCAGGAGAUUGGCAAAGAGCCCUGUCAUCUCAAAUUCCCAGUGUUUACUUAUAAACACAGGAAGUUCAAAUUUCUUAGAAUUAAGCCUAAUGCAGAACCUGUCUUCCGUGGAAUGAAUUCUGCAAGUUUGUAAAGAACCUACAUGAAAAAUACCUGAAAGAACAUGUACACUGAUGAAUAUCUUACUCAUUCAGAUCCCACUAAGAACCCAGAGUCAUUCAGACAUUAUGUGUAAAAUACAUCUUUUUAUCUGCCGGUGAAGAAAAAUCUGCUAAACAAAUUAAUACCGUGCAG